AAAAGAAGAUCAAGAAGAGCUUCAGAAUGAAGCUUUCUUGAUGGAGGGGAGCGGCAGACGGGUGAGUAACACGUGGGAACAUACUCAUCUCUGCGGAACAACUCCGGGAAACUGGAGCUAAUACCGCAUACGCCCUUCGGGGGAAAGAUUUAUCGGAGAUGGAUUGGCCCGCGUUGGAUUAGCUAGUUGGUGGGGGAAAGGCCUACCAAGGCGACGAUCCAUAGCUGGUCUGAGAGGAUGAUCAGCCACAUUGGGACUGAGACACGGCCCAAACUCCUACGGGAGGCAGCAGUGGGGAAUAUUGGACAAUGGGCGCAAGCCUGAUCCAGCCAUGCCGCGUGAGUGAUGAAGGCCUUAGGGUUGUAAAGCUCUUUCACCGAUGAAGAUAAUGACGGUAGUCGGAGAAGAAGCCCCGGCUAACUUCGUGCCAGCAGCCGCCGUAA
rnacentral:rRNA from 1 species